GUCUUAUAGCCGAGGGUGCAAUGCGGCCUGCCUGGACCGAGGAACGCGCUUCGGCUCGGACGCUGGCGUAAUGGUCGUAAAUGACCCGUCUUGAAACACGGACCAAGGAGUCUAACAUCUACGCGAGUGUUCGGGUGUCAAACCCGUACGCGCAGUGAAAGCGAACGGAGGUGGGAGCCCCCUCGCGGGGCGCACCAUCGACCGAUCCUGAUGUCUUCGGAUGGAUUUGAGUACGAGCGUAGCUGUGGGGACCCGAAAGAUGGUGAACUAUGCCUGAAUAGGGCGAAGCCAGAGGAAACUCUGGUGGAGGCUCGCAGCGGUUCUGACGUGCAAAUCGAUCGUCAAAUUUGGGUAUAGGGGCGAAAGACUAAUCGUACCAUCU
rnacentral:rRNA from 1 species